rnacentral:misc_RNA from 1 species
CGCCUGAUUUACAUAAAGACCCAAAACCAAAUGCAGCCCAGCAAAAAAGCCCCUACCCCUUCCCCAGCCAAAUCCUAACUCUUCCCAAAUCUGGCUGAAGAAAUCUCAGCGCUACCUAAUCUGGACCUACCAAACCAGAGUAACCCAAAGGAGAAUACAAGAGAAAGAGCUGUUGCCAUAACCUUGCAAGGCUUAAAAUCCAACCAUGGCCAAGAAGAAACCCCAACAAACAAUAGAAAACAUAUCUCCGAAAGGAAACCAUGGACUUGUAAAGCUGUCGAUUUGAGGAGAGGAAAAGAGAGACCAUGGUCUUCAAAACCAUGAAGCACCGACAAGUAAACUUUAGAAUUGCCGACUCUUUAAUCCCCAAGUCGUCUUCCUUGACUCUACCCUAAAAACAAGAAACCUGCAUUUUGCCCCCCAAGAAACCAAAGCCAUACAGAUCACUAAAGAAAAAUCCUCCCUUUAAGUACAAGAUCUGUACCACAAAUCAAAACUAAAAGCAUAUCUA